CCCUACGGGGCGCAGCAGGCGCGAAACCUUUACACUGCACGACAGUGCGAUAGGGGGACUCCGAGUGUGAGGGCAUAUAGCCCUCGCUUUUCUGUACCGUAAGGUGGUACAGGAACAAGGACUGGGCAAGACCGGUGCCAGCCGCCGCGGUAAUACCGGCAGUCCAAGUGAUGGCCGAUAUUAUUGGGCCUAAAGCGUCCGUAGCUUGCUGUGUAAGUCCAUUGGGAAAUCGACCAGCUCAACUGGUCGGCGUCCGGUGGAAACUACACAGCUUGGGGCCGAGAGACUCAACGGGUACGUCCGGGGUAGGAGUGAAAUCCUGUAAUCCUGGACGGACCACCAAUGGGGAAACCACSUUGAGAGACCGGACCCGACAGUGAGGGACGAAAGCCAGGGUCUCGAACCGGAUUAGAUACCCGGGUAGUCCUGGCUGUAAACAAUGCUCGCUAGGUGUGUCACGCGCCAUGAGCACGUGAUGUGCCGUAGUGAAGACGAUAAGCGAGCCGCCUGGGAAGUACGUCCGCAAGGAUGAAACUUAAAGGAAUUGGCGGGGGAGCACC
rnacentral:rRNA from 1 species